GGAAGGGUGGGGGGUAGCCUCUCUGUUCCCUCUCAGCAGACUGACAUGUUUGGGCAGAGAUGUCUGGAGACAGUGGGAGGGCUGGGGAGCAGGUCCACGUGUGCAAGAGAAGAAGACAGAGGCAUGCGGAGGGGCCGCCAUGAGAUAAGAGAGGGAUUGCUUCUUUUCCCGUUCCACAGAUGUUUAGACCGAGGCUCUGCGACACUAAAGGAUUUCCCCGAUGUCCCAUAUCUGUCUUUAGGGGAGGCCGCAAGGCACGGACGCCUUCCCACCUGCGAGAGUAGACUACCAAGAAGGAAGCUUGAUUUCUCAAUGGCUGAAAGACGCUGUGGAGGCUGGGAGCUGGCGCAGCACCUGGAAAAUAAAUCAUGAUCAACACACGGAGAGGGACAUACAGUGCAUACAGAGUGGGUGGGUGAUAUAUGGAAGAGGGUGAAUGAUUGCACAGGUGAGGGGGCGGGGGAUGCAUGGGGGCUGUGGGCGAGCAGGUAGGUGGGUAAGGAAGUAGGUGGGACGUGUGGAUGGGUACGUGGGCAGAGUUUGAAUGGACGGGUGGGUGCAUGGGUGAACGGUUGAAUGAUAGAUUGUAAGGUGGUUGGAGGAUGGUUGGAUGGAGAUGGAUGGGACAGUGGGUGGAUGGUGUGUGAGCAGAUUUGUGGCAGGAAUCUUGGAGCCUGUAGGUGCCUUUAGAAGACCGGCUAUACACAGGGAAUGAAUUUUCCAUGGUUUUGGCCAGUUCUCAAUCAUUUGGACUGAUGGAGAGAAACCAUGUCAUGGAAGAAUCUAGAAGAUGCUGAUUGGACUCAACCCGAUUUAUGUCAUACUUGGGAGGGUGGGAGUGAGCAACGGGCUCUCACCUAUGAAGUCUGAGGGUCUGUGCAUUUGUGACCUGUCAGUCACACAGGCAGAUGUGGCUUGUCUUGGGAGCCCAGCUUGGACUCUUCUCUUGCUCGCCGACACUUUCCUUGCUCCUGCGCUGGGAAGGACGGCCUCUCCUCCCAGAUGGACACAGAGUGCCGAUGGCACUGCCAUGAUUCUCCCGCAUCUGUCUCUGGUGGGCUCCCUCCUCCCCCAGAGUCAGGGAAAGGUGACCAGACUUUCUGGGGGUCCAGUGUUUCUUUCAAGUUUUCUUGAGGGUAGUCAGCACGGAGAGGCUCCGAGUCAUGGAGGUUGGCCUGGCAACUGCCAAGUGGUGUGAUGGGGUCAGGAAAUUAAUAGCAGCAAAGCUCCCCUUACAACAGAAGGGGGACAGUGGCGAAAGCUCCCUGAGCUGUUCCCUGGAAUGAGGGGAGGCUACCAGGAGCUGUAGCAAGACCCAGAGCGCAAGGGUGCCUGGGUGGCUCAGUCAGUUAAGCGUC